UACGUAGGGUGCUAGCGUUGUUCGGAAUCAUUGGGCGUAAAGCGCGUGUAGGUGGCUAGUUAAGUCAGAUGUGAAAUCCCUGGGCUCAACCGAGGAAGUGCAUUUGAAACUAAUUAGCUAGAGAAUGGUAGAGGGCGGUGGAAUUCCGUGUGUAGAGGUGAAAUUCGUAGAUAUACGGAGGAAUACCGGUGGCGAAGGCGGCCGCCUGGACCAUUUCUGACACUGAGACGCGAAAGCGUGGGGAGCAAACAGG
rnacentral:rRNA from 1 species